rnacentral:rRNA from 1 species
CCUACGGGGGGCUGCAGUGGGGAAUAUUGCACAAUGGGCGCAAGCCUGAUGCAGCCAUGCCGCGUGUGUGAAGAAGGCCUUCGGGUUGUAAAGCACUCUCAGCGGGGAGGAAGGCGUUAAGGUUAAUAACCUUGUCGAUUGACGUUACCCGCAGAAGAAGCACCGGCUAACUCCGUGCCAGCAGCCGCGGUAAUACGGAGGGUGCAAGCGUUAAUCGGAAUUACUGGGCGUAAAGCGCACGCAGGCGGACUGUCAAGUCGGAUGUGAAAUCCCCGGGCUCAACCUGGGAACUGCAUUCGAAACUGGCAGGCUAGAGUCUUGUAGAGGGGGGUAGAAUUCCAGGUGUAGCGGUGAAAUGCGUAGAGGUCUGGAGGAAUACCGGUGGCGAAGGCGGCCCCCUGGACAAAGACUGACGCUCAGGUGCGAAAGCGUGGGGAGCAAACAGGAUUAGAUACCCCAGUAGUC